UACGGAGGGUGCGAGCGUUAAUCGGAAUCACUGGGCGUAAAGCGCACGUAGGCGGCUUGGUAAGUCACAUGUGAAAGCCCUCGGCUCAACCGGGGAACUGCGUGUGAUACUGCCUUGCUUGAGUCCUGGAGAGGGUGGCGGAAUUCCCGGUGUAGGAGUGAAAUCCGUAGAUAUCGGGAGGAACACCAGUGGCGAAGGCGGCCACCUGGACAGGUACUGACGCUGAGGUUAGUGGAAUUCAAUGUGUAGC
rnacentral:rRNA from 1 species